CCUGUGGUUAAAAGGAUAAUUCAGUUUCACCAAGUGUUUUCCUUUUUUGGACCCGAUUUUAAAGCCACUCAUUUGCUAUAUAAUGAGGAAACUUUUUUUUUGGCAAAGCCUUUAUUCGUUAUCCAGCCUCUCUCUCUGCACCUUGUCCACCCUCAAGGCCUCUGGAAGGAAGCAGAACAAAUGUACCUUGAGAAAGAAGAGGAUGUGAUAUAGUGUGAAUUCCUUCUAAACCAGAAGACAAAAGAGAGGGGAAAUCUGCUCCUUAAAUGAUGGUGAAAUGGUGACGAGGAAAAGGAUAAGAAAAGAAAGUAGGCUUGUGCAUUACUAAGCAGUCCAGUCCUACUGCAUCCUUGGUCCUGCACUUAUUAGCGGUGUAGCCUUGUUGAUCAUUGGUUUCCGUCAAGAAUCCAGAGGGGCACUGAUGUCUGCCCAUAAGUGUGUAAAUUUUCAGCAUGUCUUUCCUGAAUGGGCAUGAAAAAGCUGUGAAACACUGGGAAACUGAGAUGCUCUAUUCUAGCAAGACCC